rnacentral:rRNA from 1 species
UAUGUAGGGUGCAAGCGUUAAUCGGAAUUACUGGGCGUAAAGCGUGCGCAGGCGGUUCGUUGUGUCUGAUGUGAAAGCCCCGGGCUUAACCUGGGAAUGGCAUUGGAAACUGGCGAGCUGGAGUGUGGCAGGAGGGGGGGUGGAAUUCCGCGUGUAGCAGUGAAAUGCGUAGAGAUGCGGAGGAACACCGAUGGCGAAGGCAGCCCCCUGGGCCGAACACUGACGCUCAGGCACGAAAGCGUGGGGAGCAAACAGG